UACGGAGGGUGCGAGCGUUGCUCGGAAUCACUGGGCGUAAAGGGCGUGUAGGCGGUUCGCUAAGUCUGAUGUGAAAGCCCGGGGCUCACCCCCGGAAGUGCAUUGGAAACUGGCGAACUCGAGUCCCGGAGAGGAGGGUGGAAUUCCUGGUGUAGCGGUGAAAUGCGUAGAUAUCGGGAGGAACACCUGAGGCGAAGGCGGGCUACUGGGCCGAUACUGACGCUGAUGCGCGAAAGCCAGGGGAGCGAACGGC
rnacentral:rRNA from 1 species